GAUGAACGCUGGCGGCGUGCCUAAUACAUGCAAGUCGAGCGAAUGAUGAGGAGCUUGCUCCUCUGAUUUAGCGGCGGACGGGUGAGUAACACGUGGGUAAUCUGCCUGUAAGACGGGGAUAACUCCGGGAAACCGGGGCUAAUACCGGAUAAUAAGAAGAAACGCAUGUUUCUUUUUUGAAAGUCGGUUUCGGCUGACACUUACAGAUGAGCCCGCGGGGCAUUAGCUAGUUGGUGAGGUAACGGCUCACCAAGGCGACGAUGCGUAGCCGACCUGGGAGGGUGAUCGGCCACCCUGGGCCUGAGACACGGCCCAGACUCCUACGGGAGGCAGCAGUAAGGAAUCUUCGGCAAUGGGCGAAAGCCUGACCGAGCAACGCCGCGUGAGCGAUGAAGGCCUUCGGGUCGUAAAGCUCUGUUGUUAGAGAAGAACAAGUACGAGAGUAACUGCUCGUACCUUGACGGUACCUAACCAGAAAGCCACGGCUAACUACGUGCCAGCAGCCGCAGUAACAC
rnacentral:rRNA from 1 species